rnacentral:rRNA from 1 species
UACGUAGGGUGCGAGCGUUUGUCCGGAAUUAUUGGGCGUAAAGAGCUCGUAGGCGGUCUGUCGCGUCGGUCGUGAAAACUUGGGGCUUAACCCUGAGCUUGCGGUCGUACGGGCAUGACUGGAGUUCGGCAGGGGAGACUGGAAUUCCUGGUGUAGCGGUGAAAUGCGCAGAUAUCAGGAGGAACACCGGUGGCGAAGGCGGGUCUCUGGGGCCGAUACUGACGCUGAGGAGCGAAAGCGUGGGGGAGCGAACAGG